UAAAAUAGGCGUAUGUAUGAAUGAAAUAAUAAUAAUAAUAACAUUAAUAAUAACAAUAAGUAAGAUAAAAAAUAAAAAAAAAUGAUAUAGCAUAGUCAUGAUAAAAACACAAAAAAAAAUGGAUCAAAUUGAGUUAAAAACGAGCAAAUGGGGCGAAUUUAGAAUAAAAUUUAAAAAGAAGGGGCCCACUUGAACGCGCGCGUAACAGCGGAGGACCAAAAGGGAAAUUAUCCUGUCUUUCCAAAACGUUGCGCAGCGAGGGACCCAUUUGAAACAGAAAUCAAAUAUGCGGCCCAAUUUUGAAAAAAAAAACAAGACUGGUUUAAUUGAAGCGCGUUGCAAAAGGGAGGGGUCAAAUGCGCAAUUUCCCCUUUAGUCCAAAUGCGCGGAUCCUCCCCUCCGGGUCGGGUCACCGCACGGGUCGCACCUGGCUAAAACGGCGCCGCUUUGAUCUGCUAUUUAAAGUAGUUUUUUUUCUAAAACCUCAUUUUUGCAGUAGGAAAAAGAAAAAAAAUAAAAAACAAGAAAACACCCUCUGUUAGGGUUUCGUCACAGCUCCUUGCGCCGCCGUCCGUCUGCCGUGGUUUCGCCGCAACCAGUGGCCGGAGGCUCGCCAAACUGGGUUUUUAACCCUUUUUGGAGCGGAUUCAAAGGCAAGGUAAGCCUUUCCUUUCUAUUUUUUCCGUCUAUUUUAACACUAAAUCAAAAAAAAGAAAAUAACUAAAAAAAGACUAACAAUCACCUUAAAAAACAAAUAAGCAAAUUGCUCUUCUAUUGAUCUUUUCUCUGUAUUUUCAGUUUUUCUUUUGAUUUCUCUCUUGUCUCUUUCCUCCUUUCCCCCUCUACAAAGUAAAAAUAUGGCUUUAUAUAGCCCAAAACUAACUUCUUUUCCACUAUAUUUUUGUUGGUGGACUCACUGAGUCCGUGUUUGCAGGCGUUCGUGGAGAGCACGUGGAGGAUCGGCCCCGAGACGUGCGGCGGUUGGAGGCCUUGCUGGAGGCGGGGGCUGCGGCGCUACCUGCUGCUAGGGUUUCUUUUUGUUUAGGCUUUUGUUUUAUUGUGUUGGGCUAUAUGGGCCUGUAUUUUAACCAAUUUGGGCUGUGUGUUUUGUUUUGGGCCAGUUGGGCCUAUUACAAUAUAUAUAAAUUAAAGACAAAAUAAACUUGAUUUUAUCUCGUUUUAGUGUAUUAAUCUAUUAAAUGUAAAAACGAAGUUAUUACUUCAUUUCGACUACUAACUCUUGUUGGAACAUUUUCAAAUAUUUAUAGUAUCCCAAUAACUAUAAAUGAAUGAGUGUAAUUAAUCAAAAGAUAAAUCUUUUGGUCAUUGGUCAAAAGUUAUA
rnacentral:lncRNA from 1 species